AGCUCCACUAGCGUAUGUUAAAGCUGCUGCAGUUAAAACGCUCGUAGUUGUGGUUUCGUUGGUGAGAGGAUGUGUGUCUCAAAAAGACGCGCGUUCGCUGGCCAAUUACAACAAUAGUGUGCGUGUUAAGUCACACACACUAAGUAAACCUUGAAAAAAUAUUGACGCUUAAAAUUGGACUUGGGUCCAAGAUCUUUCUGCAUGGGAUUUUGAAAUAUGAGUGGUUGGAGUCAAAUCCGCCGCUAAUGACAUUUGAGGAUGAAAGAGGAAGUUAAUAUUUGGCUGUCAGAGGUGAAAUUCUUGGAUUAGCCAAAGAUUAACCAAUGCGAAGGCAUUCUUCAAUUGCUUUCCUG
rnacentral:rRNA from 1 species